rnacentral:rRNA from 1 species
UACGUAGGGGGCAAGCGUUGUCCGGAAUCAUUGGGCGUAAAGAGCUCGUAGGCGGCUUGGUAAGUCGGAUGUGAAACCUCCAGGCUCAACCUGGAGUCGCCAUCCGAUACUGCCAUGGCUAGAGUCCGGUAGGGGCCCACGGAAUUCCUGGUGUAGCGGUGAAAUGCGCAGAUAUCAGGAGGAACACCUGUGGCGAAAGCGGCUCACUGGACCAUAACUGACGCUGAUGCACGAAAGCUAGGGGAGCAAACAGG